UUGGUCUACACUGAAUAUUGAGGAUAAAGUAUCCAUGUGAAAUUCUGUAACAGGUCUGGCAUAACCUCAUGUUUGCAUUAUGGAAGAAAGAGAGAUAGAACCCUGCAACAGUCUUGACACCAUGAUUCACCUCUAGCCCCAGCCAACCACAGAGCAUGGGCACAACUGCAUCUGGCUUACCAGGGUGUGAACCUGGGACCCUCCCGUGCAGGUACAAGCAUUCAGAGACAGUGUGCAGUUUGCUAUGCUCUUCAUCCUCUCCACUAUAACUCCAAACAGAGGCUUCAUCAUCAGCCUGGGUUCAAAAAUGAAGAUGGAAC